GACGAACGCUGGCGGCGUGCUUAACACAUGCAAGUCGAACGGAAAGGCCCUGCUUUUGUGGGGUGCUCGAGUGGCGAACGGGUGAGUAACACGUGAGUAACCUGCCCUUGACUUUGGGAUAACUUCAGGAAACUGGGGCUAAUACCGGAUAGGAGCUCCUGCUGCGUGGUGGGGGUUGGAAAGUUUCGGCGGUUGGGGAUGGACUCGCGGCUUAUCAGCUUGUUGGUGGGGUAGUGGCUUACCAAGGCUUUGACGGGUAGCCGGCCUGAGAGGGUAACCGGCCACAUUGGGACUGAGAUACGGCCCAGACUCCUACGGGAGGCAGCAGUGGGGAAUAUUGCACAAUGGGCGGAAGCCUGAUGCAGCAACGCCGCGUGCGGGAUGACGGCCUUCGGGUUGUAAACCGCUUUCGCCUGUGACGAAGCGUGAGUGACGGUAAUGGGUAAAGAAGCACCGGCUAACUACGUG
rnacentral:rRNA from 1 species